CUGAACCUUCGGGGGACGAUAACGGCGUCGAGCGGCGGACGGGUGAGUAAUGCCUAGGAAAUUGCCCUGAUGUGGGGGAUAACCAUUGGAAACGAUGGCUAAUACCGCAUGAUGCCUACGGGCCAAAGAGGGGGACCUUCGGGCCUCUCGCGUCAGGAUAUGCCUAGGUGGGAUUAGCUAGUUGGUGAGGUAAGGGCUCACCAAGGCGACGAUCCCUAGCUGGUCUGAGAGGAUGAUCAGCCACACUGGAACUGAGACACGGUCCAGACUCCUACGGGAGGCAGCAGUGGGGAAUAUUGCACAAUGGGCGCAAGCCUGAUGCAGCCAUGCCGCGUGUAUGAAGAAGGCCUUCGGGUUGUAAAGUACUUUCAGUCGUGAGGAAGGUGGUAGUGUUAAUAGCGCUAUCAUUUGACGUUAGCGACAGAAGAAGCACCGGCUAACUCCGUGCCAGCAGCCGCGGUAAUACGGAGGGUGCGAGCGUUAAUCGGAAUUACUGGGCGUAAAGCGCAUGCAGGUGGUUUGUUAAGUCAGAUGUGAAAGCCCGGGGCUCAACCUCGGAAUAGCAUUUGAAACUGGCAGACUAGAGUACUGUAGAGGGGGGUAGAAUUUCAGGUGUAGCGGUGAAAUGCGUAGAGAUCUGAAGGAAUACCGGUGGCGAA
rnacentral:rRNA from 1 species